GCCUUGAUGGUCUAGCGGUAUGAUUCUCGCUUAGGGUGCGAGAGGUCCCCGGUUCAAUCCCGGGUCAAGGCC